rnacentral:rRNA from 1 species
GAUGAACGCUGGCGGCGUGCCUAAUACAUGCCAGUCGAGCGAACAGAUGAGGAGCUUGCUCCUCUGACGUUAGCGGCGGACGGGUGAGUAACACGUGGAUAACCUACCUAUAAGACUGGGAUAACUUCGGGAAACCGGAGCUAAUACCGGAUAAUAUAUUGAACCGCAUGGUUCAAUAGUGAAAGGCGGUUUUGCUGUCACUUAUAGAUGGAUCCGCGCCGCAUUAGCUAGUUGGUAAGGUAACGGCUUACCAAGGCAACGAUGCGUAGCCGACCUGAGAGGGUGAUCGGCCACACUGGAACUGAGACACGGUCCAGACUCCUACGGGAGGCAGCAGUAGGGAAUCUUCCGCAAUGGGCGAAAGCCUGACGGAGCAACGCCGCGUGAGUGAUGAAGGUCUUCGGAUCGUAAAACUCUGUUAUUAGGGAAGAACAAAUGUGUAAGUAACUAUGCACGUCUUGACGGUACCUAAUCAGAAAGCCACGGCUAACUACGUG